UGGGGAAUAUUGCACAAUGGGCGCAAGCCUGAUGCAGCCAUGCCGCGUGUAUGAAGAAGGCCUUCGGGUUGUAAAGUACUUUCAGCGGGGAGGAAGGGAGUAAAGUUAAUACCUUUGCUCAUUGACGUUACCCGCAGAAGAAGCACCGGCUAACUCCGUGCCAGCAGCCGCGGUAAUACGGAGGGUGCAAGCGUUAAUCGGAAUUACUGGGCGUAAAGCGCACGCAGGCGGUUUGUUAAGACAGAUGUGAAAUCCUCGGGCUCAACCUGGGAACUGCAUCUGAUACUGGCAAGCGUGAGUCUCGUAGAGGGGGGUAGAAUUCCAGGUGUAGCGGUGAAAUGCGUAGAGAUCUGGAGGAAUACCGGUGGCGAAGGCGGCCCCCUGGACGAAGACUGACGCUCAGGUGCGAAAGCGUGGGGAGCAAACAGG
rnacentral:rRNA from 1 species